GAUGAAGAACGCAGCGAAAUGCGAUACGUAAUGUGAAUUGCAGAAUUCAGUGAAUCAUCGAAUCUCUGAACGCAUAUUGCGCUCUCUGGUAUUCCGGAGAGCAUGCUUGUUUGAGUAUCAGUAAACACCUCAACUCCCUUUUCUUUUUUGAAAUUGGAGCUGGACUUGAGUGAUCCCAACGCUUUCUUCCAAGAAAGUGGCGGGUUGCUUGAAAUGCAGGUGCAGCUGAACUUUUCUCUGAGCUAUAAGCAUAUCUAUUUAGUCUGCCUAAAAAACAGAUUAUUACCUUUGCUGCAGCUAACAUAAAGGAGACUAGUUCUUGUGCUGACUGAUGCAGGAUUCACAGAGACAGCUUCGGCUGACUUUGUAAACUCGAUCUCAAAUCAAGUAAGACUACCCGCUGAACUUAAGCAUAUCAAUAAGCGGAGGA
rnacentral:misc_RNA from 1 species